GUCCCCUACGGGACGCAGCAGUGGGGAAUAUUGCACAAUGGGGGGAACCCUGAUGCAGCAAUGCCGCGUGGGUGAAGAAGCACUCCGGUGCGUAAAGCCCUGUCAGCAGGGAAGAAAAUGACAGUACCUGACCAAGAAGCCCCGGCUAACUACGUGCCAGCAGCCGCGGUAAUACGUAGGGGGCAAGCGUUAUCCGGAUUUACUGGGUGUAAAGGGGGCGCAGACGGCGAUGCAAGCCAGGAGUGAAAGCCCGGGGCCCAACCCCGGGACUGCUCUUGGAACUGCGUGGCUGGAGUGCAGGAGGG
rnacentral:rRNA from 1 species